UACAGAGGGUGCAAGCGUUAAUCGGAAUUACUGGGCGUAAAGCGCGCGUAGGCGGUCCCUUAAGUCUGAUGUGAAAGCCCCGGGCUCAACCUGGGAACUGCAUCCAAAACUGGCCGGCUAGAGUACGGUAGAGGGUGGUGGAAUUUCCUGUGUAGCGGUGAAAUGCGUAGAUAUAGGAAGGAACACCAGUGGCGAAGGCGACCACCUGGACUGAUACUGACACUGAGGUGCGAAAGCGUGGGGAGCAAACAGA
rnacentral:misc_RNA from 1 species